UGGUGUUCUGAGAGGAUUAUAAUAUAUGGUAUAUCUAAAUUGUUUUGACAACAAGAAGAAUGGAUUAUUCUGAAAUGUUAUUAUCUGAUAGAUAAAAUCGACUCAGUUGUUUUAAUCAGAGUGGGUUAUUCAUUGAAAAGUUAAUUGAGUUAUAAUCAGUGAUGGAAUCAGUACAUCUUGGGUCUCCACAAUGAGUUUAAAUUAUCUGUUUUCUUAUCGCUGGAUGGGUUUCCAAGAUCUUCGUUC
rnacentral:lncRNA from 1 species